rnacentral:rRNA from 1 species
AUUGAACGCUGGCGGCAUGCUUUACACAUGCAAGUCGAACGGCAGCACAGGGAGCUUGCUCCUGGGUGGCGAGUGGCGAACGGGUGAGUAAUGUAUCGGAACGUGCCUGGUAGUGGGGGAUAACUACUCGAAAGAGUGGCUAAUACCGCAUGAGAUCUUUGGAUGAAAGCGGGGGACCUUCGGGCCUCGUGCUACUGGAGCGGCCGAUAUCAGAUUAGGUUGUUGGUGGGGUAAAGGCCUACCAAGCCUGCGAUCUGUAGCUGGUCUGAGAGGACGACCAGCCACACUGGGACUGAGACACGGCCCAGACUCCUACGGGGGGCAGCAGUGGGGAAUUUUGGACAAUGGGCGCAAGCCUGAUCCAGCAAUGCCGCGUGCAGGACGAAGGCCUUCGGGUUGUAAACUGCUUUUGUACAGAACGAAAAGUCUCUGGCUAAUAUCUAGAGAUCAUGACGGUACUGUAAGAAUAAGCACCGGCUAACUACGUG